rnacentral:rRNA from 1 species
UGGGGAAUAUUGUGCAAUGGGGGAAACCCUGACACAGCGACGCCGCGUGAGUGAAGAAGGUCUUCGGAUCGUAAAACUUUGUCAUCGGGGACGAAGAUGACGGUACCCGAAGAACAAGCCACGGCUAACUACGUGCCAGCAGCCGCGGUAAUACGUAGGGGGCGAGCGUUGUCCGGAAUUACUGGGCGUAAAGGGCGUGUAGGCGGCCUGUUAAGUCAGGGGUGAAAGACCGGGGCUCAACCCCGGGGGUGCCUCUGAAACUGGCGAGCUUGAGUGCUCUAGAGGGCAGUGGAAUUCCCGGUGUAGCAGUGAAAUGCGUAGAAAUCGGGAAGGACACCAGUGGCGGAAGCGGCUGCCUGGGGAGUCACUGACGCUGGGGCGCGAAAGCUAGGGGAGCAAACAGG